rnacentral:lncRNA from 1 species
GCCAUUUCCACGUCCUCCUUCCUCCCGGUGACGAUGAAGAUGGGUUCCUCGCCCCUCACCGGCGUCUUGAUGUACGUGUUUGUCUUGGCACGCAGGGCUUUGAUUUUGCAACCUUGCCGCCCCACGAUCUCAGCGACGUGUUCGGAGCUCGGAACGGGAACGCAUUCGGUCAUAUUGACGCUUUUUUUCCUAUUCCCGACGAGGUUCAUCUGGUCGCUCAAAAGAGGGGGAAGGUGGUGGUGGUGGUGGUGGUGGUGGUUGUGGUGGUGGUGGUGGUUUUGGGGCGCUACGAAGUUGCCGAAAACGGAUGAUGAUGAUGAUGAUGAUGGUGGUGAAGAGGUACCGGGAAGAGUCGGGCUGUUCCCGGGGGGCUCCGGUUCCGCCUCCCCACCCCCUCCUCCUCCUCCUCCUCCUCCUCCUCCACCCCCCCCGGUUCGGCCGUUUCCUCCAAACCCAACAACGACAGUUGAUCCAAGGCGAAUCUCAACGCUUCGUCUUGCGUUGGAGGCGGCCCCUCCCUCGUCUCCGUUUCGGGCUCCGGUUCCUGCCCGGUGCUGACGGUCGAAGGUGGGGGUGGAGGAGGGCUUAGCAAAGCUAAACAACGCGGGGGGGCUCGGGCAGCCUCGCCGCCGUCGGGUUGAUAGAUGGAGCCGGGCAUGGCGGUGCGGUGCGGUGCUUUGCGGGGCGGUGGCGGUGCCCGGUGCCCGCCGCACGCCGCCUCCCCCCCACCCCGCCCGGCCCCGCGCCGCUCGGCCCCGCCCCUCCCCCCGACGUCAGCCCGCCCCGACAAUGGGCCGCGCCCGGCGCGCGCAGGCGCGGUGGCGGCAGGAAGGGGGCGUGGCUACCGGGCCAAGCCCCGCCCAUCUAGUUCCGCGACCACGCCCACUCCCCCCAUCCUGGCGGGAAGCGGGAUGGGAGCGAGCGCGGAGCGUGGGGGGGGGGUUAAUGGGAUGGGGGAGGGGCAGCUGUGGGAUGGAGCCGGCUGAGAGCUAACCCAGGUCUGCCUCGGGACCUAUAGAGAGAGAGAGAGACGCGUUACGGGGACAGCGUGGUUUAAAUCCAUUCCUCCUCGCCCUGUCGCUAAUGGGGGAGAAGUAGGUCAGGUGAUGGGGGGGACAUCCUUCACCCGAAGGGCGGUGGGUGCCCCAUCCCUGGAGCUGCGGGUGGGCUCUGGGCAGCCCGUGGCCGGGCAGGGCGCUGGGAGCUCCCCCGCUCCCUUCCAGCCCAGCCGUGCUGUGAUUCCACGCUUCUAUGACCAUUAAGAACCCUUCCAACCCCCCCCACUGUCUCCUCCUCCCCACCCCCCGGCUGUUGCAGAGCUCCCUGCAGCCCCAGCAGCAGCAGUUUGCAUCCCCCAGACCCGGGGGGGGGGGUUCACCCAUUCCCCCCUACACCGCAGCCCCCCCCCCAGCUGUGCAUCAGCUCCCUGCAGAGCAUUGACCUCCCGGCCAUGUGCCCCACCUGGGCCAGGCCCUGCGGGGGAUUCCCAGCUCUUCCUGCACACUCACUCACUCACUCACUCACCCUAAGGCUACGGAGAUCAGCUCUCGGCUCACCCGUUGCCUCCCAUACCCACCCCAUCCUGCUCAAAGUCCGCAGGCCCCAUUCUCAAGCUUUAUUUUUGCCAUUUUCCACACCGUUCUCUCACCCCGCC